rnacentral:lncRNA from 1 species
AAAAGAUUUUUAAACCACAGUUUUUUGAUAACAACAUUUAAGUAAAUAAACAUAUAUUUUGUAACAAAAAGAAUCAUUUUGAGGGGAGACUGUCACCCAGAGAACGCAAUCAGCUAAAUGAUUUUUCAUGUUUACAAACUGAAAGAAGAAAUAGAAUUUGCUAUGGAAUAAUCUAUCAGUACUUGUAUCAAAUUGCAAAAUUCCUAUUUCUGAAAAUUAUUGUAGAUCUAUUUUCUAGGGAAAAAAAUAGAGGAAAAUAAAUUCUACUGAAUAAAAAUUAAAGGCCCAAUUAAUCCCUAGUUCAGGUUUAUUGCCUGUGGAGGGAGUGUGCAGUGUUACUGACUUCAUCAGAGCAACUUUUGUCUCAGUAAUAAAAUGGAUUGCAAACCGUUUCCAUUUCAGUUUUAAUGUAAAUCAUUGACCAAUCUUGAUUGUCUUGUUGCAUAAAAUGCUCAUAAAAGAAAGAUUUUUUUGCUUCUCAUGUUGAAUUUUGCUGAUGCUGCUGAAAUUUUUCUAUACAAAAGGUGACCAAAAUAUUCUGACAGAUCAGAAGCUUCUUAUUCUCAUCCUGAACAACAGGCAAACAGAAAAUCCUCACGUCAAAUGUUCCUUUGGCACUGGCAAGUGUCUCCUCAGAACACUAAAAAUGGCAACAGUGGCUCCCUUGUCGUCAUGAGGAUAUAUCAACUCUAGGUCUAAUUGAAAGAAAUUGGAUUCCUUGGAUUCUUUGCAGAAGGUGGUUGCUCUGAGUACAUGCUUCAAGACAUUGACAUUUUCCUGUAUUAUGUUCAGGAUGGGAAUCACUGCCUAA